rnacentral:lncRNA from 1 species
CGCCUGUAAUCCUAGCACUUUGGGAGGCCGAGGCGGGCAGAUUACGAGGUCAGGAGAUUGAGACCAUCCUGGCUAACAUGGUGAAACCCCGUCUCUACUAAAAAUACAAAAAAUUAGCCAGGCGUGGUGGCGGGCGCCUGUGGUCCCAGCUAAUCGGGAGGCUGAGGCGGGAGAAUGGCGUGAACCCGGGAGGCGGAGCUUGCAGUGAGCCG